UACGUAGGGUGCUAGCGUUGUCCGGAUUUAUUGGGCGUAAAGGGCUCGUAGGCGGCGUGUCGCGUCGGGAGUGAAAGCCCGCUGCUUAACGGCGGGUUGGCUUCCGGUACGGGCAUCGCUGGAGUGCGGCAGGGGAGACUGGAAUUCCUGGUGUAGCGGUGAAAUGCGUAGAUAUCAGGAGGAACACCGGUGGUGUAAACGGCUUUCUGGACCAUAACUGACACUGAGGCACGAAAGCGUGGGUAGCAAACAGG
rnacentral:rRNA from 1 species